CCCUUAGAUGUUCUGGGCCGCACGCGCGCUACACUGAUGCAUUCAACGAGUCUAAAACCUGCUCUGAUAGGGGUGGGUAAUCUUUUGAAUGUGCAUCGUGAUUGGGAUAGAUGAUUGCAAUUUUUCAUCUUCAACUAGGAAUGCCUAGUAAACGCAAGUCAUCAGCUUGCAUUGAUUACGUCCCUGCCCUUUGUACACACCGCCCGUCGCUCCUACCGAUUGAAUGAUCCGAUGAAUAUCAUGGAUUGAGGAUGCAAGUAGGUUCGCCUAUCUUCAUCUUCGAGAAGUGAAGUAAAUCUUAUCAUUUAGAGGAAGGAGAAGUCGUAACA
rnacentral:rRNA from 1 species